UAAAAUAACCAUUUAAACCUGUUACAGUCUCAAUAGAAGGUAACGGGGCGUUAAUUGACCUUGUCCUUUUCUUAAACUCGGUCAAUGGGUUUUAAAGUUGCAUACUAAUAGUAUGUAAAUUUUGUUUAAUGGUAACGCUUAGUGGGCCAUUUUUGGUAAGCAGAACUGGCGAUGCGGGAUGAACCGUACACAGAGUUAAGGUGCCAAAGUUUAAUACGCUAAUUAGAUCCCACUAAAGAUGUUGUUCGCUUAAGACAGUAGGGCGGUGGCCAUGGAAGUCGGCAUCCGCUAAGGAGUGUGUAACAACUCACCUACCGAAGCGUUCAACUCUGAAAAUGGAUGGCGCUUAAGCGUUACACUGAUACUCUGUCGUAGUAGUAAAUCCGUAAGAAUGCAUAUUGCAAUGGAACAUUGUUUAAUAUGUAGAUUAAACUUCUACGAGUAGGAGGAAUGUGGUGAUAGCGUUGAAGUUUUGCGCGUAAGCGCGAAUGGAGCUAUUGCUAGUACAGAUCUUGGUGGUAGUAGCAAACAAACAAGUGACAACCUUGUUGACCGACGUGGAUACGGGUUUCAUGGGAACAGUAAUUGGCCAUGAGUUAGUCGAUCCUGAGGAGUGACGUGAAGGCGUUUUCGUAAGAAGUAUCUCUUGUUAGAUACACUCCGAAAGGGAAUGAGGUUAAUAUUCCUCAACCUUGAUUAUGCAUAUUUUAAAGCGGUAACGCAAUCGAACUCAGAGACAUCUGCCAAAGUCCUGGGUAGAGAUAUCUUCUCUACCUUAAGGUGUGCUAAGUGCCUUGAAUCAGUUUAGCUGGAGACAGGCAUAGAUGCGCCGAAUAGCAUCGCGCUUCAAGUGAUGUGUACAGUGUACUUUGGUUGAUCCUUGAAAAUCUGGGUGAGUAUUAUUAAGGCAUGACAAGAUCGUACCUAGUUCCGCAACAGGUAUCCUAGGUGAACAGCCUCUGGUCUAUUAGAAGAAUGUAGGUAAGGGAAGUCGGCAAACCUGAUCUGUAUCUUUGGUACAAAGGUUGGCUCUGGCGUGUUUGCUUGAUGUGGUGUAGUAAGUACGCCGGAAUAGUAUGCGGAGACUGAUAGUUGGCGCAAGCUGAUUGUUGGACUUUGUGUAUAGUUCUUGCCGAAAGCUGCAUUGUGUCUUGCAAUUAAAACAAUUAGUCAGAACUAUCAUUGACUGUUCGGAAUCUGACUGUUUAAUUAAAACAUAGCAUUGAGAUGACCGGUGACCCGGUGUUGACUCAAUGUGAAUUCUGCCCAGUGCUCUGAAUGUCAACGUGUAGAAAUUCAAUGAAGCGCGGGUAAACGGCGGGAGUAACUAUGACUCUCUUAAGGUAGCCAAAUGCCUCGUCAUCUAAUUAGUGACGUGCAUGAAUGGAUUAACGAGAUUCCAUCUGUCCCUACUUACUAUCUAGCGAAACCACAGCCAAGGGAACGGGCUUGGCGAAAUCAGCGGGGAAAGAAGACCCUGUUGAGCUUGACUCUAGUCUGGCAUUGUGAGGAAACUGUAUCUGGUAUAGCUUAGGUGGGAGGCAAGGUAACUUGUCGUUAUCAACUGUAAAACCACCACAGUACAGCACCACUCACUGACUUAAUUAUGAGGCUUACUUUGUCAUUUUUUUUAUUAAAAAUGGCAAAGGAAACUUUGUAAUUGCAAAUUAAGCCGGUGCGGUAAGAUUAAGUUCGCUUAGUUUUACGUAUCGUACCGUCGAGGCAUUAUUUAAGGACAGUGCCAGGCGGGGAGUUUGACUGGGGCGGUACAUCUAUCAAAUGCUAACGUAGGUGUCCUAAUGUUAGCUCAGUGAGACCAGAAAUCUCACGUAGAAUAUAAGGGUACAAGCUAGCUUGAUUCUGAAUAUCAGUGCGAUUGCGAGACAAGAAAUUGUGGCCUAACGAUCCUUUUGAAAAGCGAAAUAUUAUCAAUGCAUAAUGCAAGAGGUGUCAGAAAAGUUACCACAGG
rnacentral:rRNA from 1 species